GAUGAACGCUGGCGGCGUGCCUAAUACAUGCGAGUCGAGCGGACAGACGAGGAGCGUGCCUCUCUGACGGUAGCGGCGGUCGGGUGAGUAACCCGCGGAGACACUACCUCUCCUACUGGGAUAACUUCUGGACACCGGACCUAAUACCGGUUGAUAUAUUGAACCGCCUGGCUCCAUAGUAAUACACGUGUUUGCGGUUUCUCAUAGCUGGCUCCGCGCCGUAUUAGCUAGUUGGUAAGGUAACGGCUUACGAAGGCAACGAUGCGUCGCCGACCUGAGAGGGUGAUCGGCCACACUGGAACUGAGACACGGUCCAGACUCCUACGGGAGGCAGCAGUAGGUAAUCUUCCGCAAUGGGCGAAAGCGUGACGGAGCAACCCCGCGCGAGUGAUGAAGGUCUUCGAAUCGUAAAACUCUCUUAUUAGGGAAGAACAAAUGUGUAAGUAACUAUGAACGUAUUGACGGUACCGAGUCAGAAAGCGACGGCUAACUACGUG
rnacentral:rRNA from 1 species